rnacentral:rRNA from 1 species
AACGCGAAGAACCUUACCAGGGCUUGACAUGCAGUCGCACCGCCCGUAACGGGGCGUGCCCGCAAGGGACGGCUGCACAGGUGCUGCAUGGCUGUCGUCAGCUCGUGUCGUGAGAUGUUGGGUUAAGUCCCGCAACGAGCGCAACCCCCAUGAGUAGUUGCAUGUUUCUAUUCAGACUGCCACUCUCAAAGUGGAGGAAGGUGGGGAUGACGUCAAGUCAGCACGGCCCUUACGUCCUGGGCGACACACACGCUACAAUGGCCGAGACAACGAGUCGCCAACCCGCGAGGGGGAGCCAAUCUCAGCAAACUCGGUCUCAGUUCAGAUUGCAGGCUGCAACCCGCCUGCAUGAAGUGGGAGUUGCUAGUAACCGUGAGUCAGCACAUCACGGUGAAUACGUUCCCGGGCCUUGUACACACCGACGCGUA